GGGGACGUGGCGAAAUUGGUAGACGCACUGGAUUUAGGUUCCAGCGCCGCAAGGUGUGAGAGUUCGAGUCUCUCCGUCCCCACCA
rnacentral:tRNA from 126 species